AUCAUGAACUGAGGAUUAAAAACAGAUAUUUCAAGAAAACAGGCUCCCCCUCUUCACGGAGUAUACUAGGUGACGAAGCCCAGAGGACAUGAGACACUUAGGAAGGUAAAUCAGAAAACUGAGGUGAUUCUAAGGAGAAAGCAAGCUGGGGAGCCGAGAGUGCGGGGUAGUUAAGGGAAGCCACCCUAAGAUGAUGUUCGGAGUCAUCCCAGUUUGGGAGAUCAAGAAAAAGUCUUUCAGCUUUUUCAGAAGCAGGUGCCAGAAACCCAACUCAAAUGAGCUCAAGGGAAAUGGAGCAGGGGAGAGGGAGUACUUAAUGACUCAGUAUUAUUAUUCCAGGAAAAGUCAAGAUGCCAUAACCUAGAAGACCACCACCAGGAUCAUGCUGAGAUCUCCUGAUGCCUGCUUCGAUGACUAAGAUUCCCAGAAAGAAAGAAGAAUGCAUGUUUGCCCCAACCCUGAUUCUUAUCUGAAACCCUGUUUUUCUCCUUUUGACUAUAAAACUCCCCACAAUCAUUCUUCAAGAGAGGGCAUGGUCUUUAAGGCAUUAGCUUGCUGUGGCCUCCUUUGCCUGGAAAAGCAAUAAAAGCUAUUUUUUUCUCCUUCACCCCAAACUCUAUCUCCACGUUUCUACUUGGCACUAGUGGACAGAGGCUGAGUUUCAGCAACACUCUCAGUGGACUUUAUUUCUAUGCCAAGGAACAUGGCCUCUGGCAGUUCUGGACUCAAACAGUGAUGGCCCCAGAUCUGGAGAGAAAAGGGGAAUCUUCUCUAACCAAGAUUAAGAAAGAAGGUCAUGGUGCGAAAACUGAAUCAUGUGCUCAUCCAUGGAUUAUUCACUCCUCCUUCCCCUCCCCAUGGUCAAGGUGAGAGACAAAGUCUCACAUAGGAAACAUGGCAGAGAGAGACCAGACCUGGCCGCUGGGGCAUCAUUAUGACCCAGAGUCUCCCCAAAUUAUGUCAAUUACAUUGACCUCGAUCUACUAACCUUCCUCAAUGCCUACCGUGCUCCAUACUCAACAAUACUUUCUGAGCACAUACUAUAUGCCAGGUACUGUGCUAAGAAGGUCGUGUGGAUUUAGCAUGACCAAGACAAAAAUGUCUCUGCCUUCACUUGACAUCCUGUAGGUUAGCACUGCAAAACCCAGAACAGCCAGGCCUGAUCUUUGGUCCCAAUGGUUUGAGAAUCACAGAACAGAGGAUGUUAUCCUAAAGAAUAGUCCCCAUCACUGUCUCCACUUCUUCUUCCUUCAUUAUCUCUAUCCUACUGCACUUUCCUCCUUCAUUCCACUGAAACCGUCCUGGGAAAAGUCACCAGGGACUUUUUGCCAAAAGGAGGAUACUAUUUGUGUCCCCAUUUGUACUGAAUUUGGAGGCAUCUGAUACAGCUGCCUACUGCCCAUGUUCUAAAAUUGUACUUUCUUACCUUUGGUGGCAUGUACUCUUCUGGUUCUCCUAGAUAUGUGGAUGAGAGGUCAGUUAAUGGUGCUUUUUAAUUUUUACUUUGUAUGCUUUUCUAUGAAGAGGAGGUUUUAUACUGAAAAUUGAAUUUUAAAAAUAAAGUU